rnacentral:rRNA from 1 species
CAAUAGCGUAUAUUUAAGUUGUUGCAGUUAAAAAGCUCGUAGUUGGAUUUCGGAUGGGAUUUGCCGGUCCGUCGUUACGAUGUGCACUGGCCAGUCCUAUCUUGUUGUCGGGGACUAGCUCCUUGGAUUCACUUCCUGGGACUAGGAGCUGACGAGGUUACUUUGAGUAAAUUAGAGUGUUCAAAGCAAGCCUACGCUCUGAAUACAUUAGCAUGGAAUAACACGAUAGGACUCUGGCUUAUCUUGUUGGUCUGUGAGACCAGAGUAAUGAUUAAGAGGGACAGUCGGGGGCAUCCGUAUUUCAUUGUCAGAGGUGAAAUUCUUGGAUUUAUGAAAGACGAACUUCUGCGAAAGCAUUUGCCAAGGAUGUUUUCAUUAA